rnacentral:rRNA from 1 species
AGGACGAACGCUGGCGGCGUGCUUAACACAUGCAUGUCGAGCGGAAAGGCCACUUCGGUGGUACUCGAGCGGCGAACGGGUGAGUAACACGUGAGUAAUCUGCCCCUGGCUUUGGGAUAGCCACCGGAAACGUGAUUAAUACCGGAUAUGACUGCUCCUCGCAUGAGGUGGUGGUGGUAAGUUUUUCGCAGGAUGUGCUCGCGCUAGUCAGUCGUUGAGUGGUGGGUAAUGGCCUACACCGAGU